UCCUAUCUAAAAUAGGUCCACAAACAUUUCAAUAAUGCUGAAACUUGAUGUGACCUGCAAGUAAGAGUAUAUACACGUCCGUUGCUAUUUGCUGUUCUUUUCUUUGCUGUUCUGUUUGGAUCCAAGUGUUAGCUAUUGGAUAGAAACUGUGUAGGGUAUCACUUGCAAGUUGCAACUUUCCCAUUUAUGAUUUUGAAUCCAGAUAAGUGUACCAUAC
rnacentral:lncRNA from 1 species